GUAGUAGCUGUUUUUCGUCUCAAGCCUACUGGCAGCUUCACCAUCAACAACCAUCCAAGACAUUCUCAGCCCCUAGAUUUUUGAGAGCUACCUAUCCAUGCACUCCUAUCAAUUAUGAUGAUCAGGAUUGGAGCAAUUAUGGAGGUAAUUCCAAAGUUAUAAUUUGGGUGUGAGGGGAAAGCAUAUAGCAAUUAUGGAGGUUAUGGCUCUACAAUGGGCGGCUACAACUCUAACUAUGGAUCUGGAACUACAGAGGAUUCACUGAAGAUGUUACUCUUUUAUGCAAAGAUUUUGAUUGGAUCUCAAAAUGUUCAUUCAUGUUAUGUAUUUAGAUAGCCACAGUAUUUGUAUAACUGGAAUGAUUUUAAGUAUGGGGAUCUGUUCUUGUAUUUGUUUUAGUCAUUUAUAAAUACUUUGAUGGCAUUUAUUUCAUGAAGAUGUGGUAAAAAUUAUUGUUAAAAGCAUUUGUUGAGGAUCA